UAAAAAAAUACAAUAAUUACAUAGUUUUUCUUUAAAGCCGACAUAAAUAUGCAUAUUUAUUCUAAUAGUUAAACAUAGGUCUAAAAUAUAGAUAAUAGGAAGUUUCUCAGAUACAAACGAGUUCAGUGUUACACCAAUUAAUCGGUUAGGUACCUAUAUGGUUGAGACGAUAAAUCCCGAUUAUAAACUGUAAGUGAUCACGACUAGAGUUUCGAUUGAUUUUGUAUAUUCGGCAAUCGAACGGAAUUUAUUGGCCAGUAUAUAAAAUUCAGUUGGCAGUUAAUGACAAAGGAUUUAGUAAUUUUAAUAAAACAUGGCACCAUAAAUUUCUUCUAACUGGAGACUUGUCUGCAGAUGCUAGUGUGCUACUGAAGUUGAUGUGCCUCGAGAAACUAUUAACUUUAAUAUGGAUCAUACGUACCUAAUGAUUCAGAACCUAAAGAAGAAGAAAAAAGAAAAAAGAAAGAAAAGCAUUGGAAAAAUAUCAUAACGCCAUUUAAAAGAAAUCAUUGACCUCAAACAAAAUAAGUAUAAACAAUUAAACAGUUACAUCAAAAUAAUCCGUUUGAUAUAUCCAAAAAUAUUUCUAAAUUAAAUAAUAUUAAUUCAACUUUAUAUAUCAAAGACAGUUUAAUUAAAAAACGGCUCCUAUAAAGGAAAGGGUAUGGUAGUAUACUGUUCUUUGGACAUUGUCUACACUCUCAAAACUAAUGAGUCAUUAUGGAACAGAAUUAAUGAAGUAUAUUUUAAAGGAGAUAGUCCAUUAUAAUUAUAACCAAUAAAUAUUACUGAUAAAAUACUUUAAAAAAAUAUAUACGUUUAACUGGAACUUCCAGAGAACAAAUUUCAACUGAUUUAU